GACGAUAUAAAUAGCAGCCAUGAAAGUGAUGACCAAGCUUUUUCUAGUCUUUCACGAUAUCACUUGCGCCGGGUGAAAGAGUAUCACAGUUGGGAAGAUGUGAGGGGGUCUCUUUUGCAAGCACGCAUUGAGGAAGAAGCUUUUUGUGACGAAAGUAUAAUGUGCAUCGAGUGCCAUAACAACUUCGCUGUUUGUCGCUGCGUGGAUUGUGGUCCUAGACAGUUGUUUUGCAUCAACUGCGCGAAAACUAUCCACGAACAACGCAACGUCUUUCACCUACUUGAAAUUUUCAAGGAUGGUUGUUUUGUUCCUUUAUUUGUUAAUCAUGGUGUUUUGACUCUUGAUCACCAAAGAAAUUGUCCAACUGCACAAGCACAAAACAUUAUUUGUAUUGAUGAAAAAGGGCAUCAACACUUGAAAUGGAUCAACUUUUGUAACUGUGAAGAUGCUGCAGUUACACUUGUAAAGUUCCAAUUAUGGCCAGGAUCAGCUG